rnacentral:lncRNA from 1 species
GUUUAUGUUAUCACACGUUCAUAUGAUCAUAUGUUUUUACAUACGUAUAUAACAUGUAUGUAAUUUUUGUUUUAGUCACAUUUUUUAUGGAGAAAAAAUAUAUUAACAUACCUUUUCUUUUGAAAUAUUUAAGUAAAACAAUUUACAAACUGAAUAGAUAUUUAUUUUUAUUGUUAGAAUAUUUUUGCAUUAUAAAUAAUUAGCGUGUUGCUUUAUAAGUAGUCAACUUUCUACUUUACAAGUACACACAUCUAGUUUGUCGUCUUGUAAAUUCCUAUCUUGCUAUCUUAUAAAUAUAAAACUUGUUUAAAAAUAAAAAUUGAAGUAAAAAAAAAAAAAUAAUUAUAAAAAUAAAAAUAUAGAAAUACCAAAAAAAACAAUAAACCAAGAAGAUGAAAAUAAACGAAUACAAUUUAUAGACACAAAUAUAAAGGAUAUUUAUGAAUACGUCUCAACAACAUUAGAUAUUAAAAAAGUAAAUAACCAGAUGGAUGUGCAUACUAUUUUUAAGUUAUAUCAUUAUUUAAAUAAUUUUUUUUUUUUUUAUAAAGCUAAUAAAAAGCCAUGUAUAUCUGAAAUUAUACAUUUGGCUUUUUAUUUCUCAAGUUAUGAUGGAGUUAAACAAAAUGGGUAUUAUACUGAAAAAGAUAAAAGUAGUGAAGCAGUUAUCAUGAGCUUGAAGUCAUAUGAUUGUGAUAAUAAAACAGCUUUAUAUGAUGAUAAUAAUAAUUUACAAAUAAAAUAUCAUAAUAAUAAUAGUGUGGGCAAUAAUAGUUGUAUGAAUAACAGAAUAGGAGACGUGUUACCAUUAUUUAAUACUUAUGAUUAUUGGAGUUAUAUCCACAAUUGUCUUUACAAUAGUGGUGAUUUUUUACCUGAAUCCGUUACGUCAAGUAGCUCUUAUACAUCUUAUGUACCAUUUCAUUUGUCAACGUCUUUAUUUCCAGCUACCUUAUCUUGUGGUACUCAAUUUUUUGCAAAUAGUACGAGCAGAAAUAAACUAAAUAAAAAAAUAGAUAAAAUAAAAAUGUUAAAUAUUAUUAUAGAUUAUAUUGAAAAUAAAGAAAAAAUAAACAGAAAGAAAAAAAAAGAUAUAAAUACUGAGGUGAGGAUUUUACGCAAAUAUGACAUUAUUUGUUUUAAAGAUGAUGACAAUAGUAGUAAUAAUAAUAGUAAAAAUAAUAGGAAUGAUUGUAUCAUGUUAGGAAAUAAAAAAAGGUUUUCAAAAAGAGUUAGGAAAAGGUGUAGUAGCAAUUUGGAAGAAAUGUACGAAAUACAAGGUAAUAAUAUAAAAAAUAAAAGGAAAAUAAAAAGAAAAAUAGCUACUGAAGCAGGUUCUUCAACAUUUCGUGCGAGCUCCUUAGAUUCAAGUAUCGAAGCAUUUAAUAAGGAAUCGUAUAUAUUACAACAAAAAAAACUAAACCUGAAAAAAAUUAGUACAGACAUAUAUACGGUAGCCAAUAAAAUACAAAAUCGGAAGAAAAAAAAAAAAAAAAAAAAAGUGUUA